UACGAAGGGUGCAAGCGUUAAUCGGAAUUACUGGGCGUAAAGCGCGCGUAGGUGGUUCAGUAAGUUGGAAGUGAAAUCCCCGGGCUCAACCUGGGAACUGCUUUCAAAACUGCUGAGCUAGAGUACGGUAGAGGGUGGUGGAAUUUCCUGUGUAGCGGUGAAAUGCGUAGAUAUAGGAAGGAACACCAGUGACGAAGGCGACCACCUGGACUGAUACUGACACUGAGGUGCGAAAGCGUGGGGAGCAAACAGG
rnacentral:rRNA from 1 species